UCACAGAAUCCAGAAUGCCAGAGAGAUCCUGCAGAUAAUCAAUUUCUCUGUUCCCAUCCAUUUGUAGUUAGAGACUCGGCCUUUAUUUAUCACUAAUAGAAGCUUAGUGAUGUUACAACACUAUCUCUUGAUGAUUUCUUUUUCUUAUACAUCUGAAUCCAAAGGCAAUAAUGCAACUGCAAGAUAAAUGACCAUUAAUCUGGAGAAAAGUCUCUUGAAGUAAGUCUCAGGGCUCCAUAAAGGACCUUGUCCAGCUACUUAUUGAAGACUUGUGUGAGGACAGUGAAAGAAUGCUGAUCAAAUUACUCUUGGUCCUGCAGCAUGCUCUACUCGCUGUGCGUGGGACCUGUGAGAUAAUCAGUGAAGAGAGACGGAAGGAUAUGAAAAUGAGAGAGCUAGAUCCACAUCUGUAAAUGUCUAAGUCAUGCUGCCAGCCAGUCUUGCCUACAGCUACUUGAUUCUGGGAGAGCCUUCUAUAAAACUGAUUACAGCAUUUCCCUGCCACACAGUGAAAAAACAAUGUAGUUUGAUAUGAUAAAACAUUGAUUGAAUACAGGGGAUAUGAAAGUGUCUGUCAUCAGAUUGCAGGGGCAAAAAGAGUGGCUUUCUUCUUUCUUUGGGGUGAGGUAGGUAUGAGAAUUGCAUAGAUAUUCAUUGAGAUAAGCUUGUUGGUCUUUCCUGUGAAAUCACUUGUUAUCAGAGCUUUGCCUCCUUUCAGCUCUCAGUGAAUAUUUCCAUCCCCCUAGAAGUGUGUGUGUUUUGUGAUAGGGGAGACUGAGAAAAUGAAAGAGGAUUAGCGUUUGCUAAAUAUCCCCUCAUUCAUUCACCGAUUAUUUCCUUUUAUGUUAAUUGAUAGACUGAUAUCUUUCUAAGUGUCUGGCACCUAAUAGGUAUUGAAUUAAACUAUUGAAUAAAUAAAAAUAUAGGUUUCCAAUUCAAUAAAGCAAAA